GACCCCAUCGUCUAGAGGCCUAGGACACCGCCCUUUCACGGCGGCAACGCGGGUUCGAAUCCCGCUGGGGUCGCCA
rnacentral:tRNA from 1 species